AUGGGCUUUAGGGACCUACAUUCUUUCAAUCUGGCACUUCUUGCAAAGCAGUGUUGGAGACUGGUAACUAAUUCAGAAUCUAUUUGUGCUCGGAUUCUGAAAGCUGAAUAUUUUCCACAUUGUGAGUUAUUGCAAGCAGGUCCAAAGAAAGGUUCUUCGUUUACCUGGCAGAGCAUUGUGGCUGGUUUGAUCACAUUCAAACAGGGAUACAUAUGGUGAAUUGGAUGGGGUGAGAAUGUAAAUAUUUGGAGUGACCCUUAGAUACCAUCACGUCCAGAUAGGAAAAUUAUAACACCCAGGGGACAUACUGUGAUUUCAAGAGUAGUUGAGCUCAUCGAUCCAGUUACUACAUAGUGGGAUGAGGGACUCAUUAGAGAUAUUUUUUAUCCUGUUGAUGCAGCAAGGAUCCUCUAGAUACCAAUCAAUUUCCAAGCUUUCGAGGAUUUCAUAGCUUGGCAUCCAUCCAGGAACGGUAUUUUUUUUGUAUGUACCUCAUAUCAUGAGGAAUGGCUACAUAAGUACAGAAACCACUCUCCUGGGAAUCUGACAUCGACUAGUACUAUGCAAGCAGAAGUUUGGAAACAACUAUGGAAGUUACAAGUGCCGAGAAAGAUUCAAAUAUUCUGUUGGUGAGCUCUUCGGGGUAUUGUUCCGUUAAAUUCUAUACUAGCAAAUAGACAUAUUCCCAUAUUAUGA
rnacentral:rRNA from 1 species